AGGUCAAGACAUGGGCGUGAUUGACAGAAUAAUGACUUUUCUCGAUUCCAUGGAUGGUGGUGCAUGGUCGCACUUAGUUGGUGCAGUGAUUUGUCAGGUUUAUUCCGGUAACGAACGAGACCUCGGCCUUGUAAAUAGCUAUGCUGCUUACAGGGACAUUGGCGGCUACGCCAAGGAAGCUCGAGGCAAUUGCAGAUCUGGAAUGCCCUUAGAUGUCCUGGGUCGCACGCGUGCUACAAUGACGCCACGAACGAGCUUGCGUGAUGAAAGUUACGCAUAAUCAGCAGUCGGCGUCUUAAGGGAUAGUCUCUUGUAACUGUGGGACUCCAACUAGGAAUGUCUCGUAAGCACAAGUCAACAUCUUGUGUUGAUUACGUCCCUGCUCUUUGUACCCACCGCCCGUCGCUCCUACCGAUCGAGUGCCUCUUGAAUUUGAUGGACGUAAGGAAGUCAAAUAAACCUGAGCACUAGAGAAGAGAGCACAGAGGCAAUAAAAAACA
rnacentral:rRNA from 1 species